AUUGAACGCUAGCGGGAUGCCUUACACAUGCAAGUCGAACGGAGUGGCGAACGGGUGAGUAAUGUAUCGGAACGUGCCCAGUAGCGGGGGAUAACUACGCGCAAGCGUACCUAAUACCGCAUACUAUUGGAGCGGCCGCUAGCGGCUUAGCUCGUUGGUGAGGUAACGGCUCACCAAGGCGACGAUCCGUAGCUGGGUUGAGAGGACGACCAGCCACACGGGGACUGAGACACGGCCCAGAAUCCUACGGGAGGCAGCAGUGGGGAAUUGUGGAAAAUGGGGGAAACCCUGAUCGAGCCAUCCCGCGUGUGCGAUGAAGGCCUUCGGGUUGUAAAGCACUUUUGGCAGGAAAGCGGUACCUGCAGAAUAAGCACCGGCUAACUACGUGCCAGCCGCCGCGGUAAUAC
rnacentral:rRNA from 1 species